rnacentral:rRNA from 1 species
GACGAACGCUGGCGGCGUGCUUAACACAUGCAAGUCGAACGGUGAAGCGCCUUCCUUUUUGGUGGGUGUGGAUGAGUGGCGAACGGGUGAGUAACACGUGAGUAACCUGCCCCCUUCUUCUGGAUAACCGCAUAAAAGUGUGGCUAAUACGGGAUAUUCUGGGUCUGUCGCAUGAUGGGUCUGGGAAAGAUAUUGUUUCGGUGGGGGAUGGGCUCGCGGCCUAUCAGCUUGUUGGUGGGGUGAUGGCCUACCAAGGCGGUGACGGGUAGCCGGCCUGAGAGGGUGGACGGUCACACUGGGACUGAGACACGGCCCAGACUCCUACGGGAGGCAGCAGUGGGGAAUAGUGCACAAUGGGCGCAAGCCUGAUGCAGCGACGCCGCGUGAGGGAUGGAGGCCUUCGGGUUGUGAACCUCUUUCGCCAGUGAAGCAGGCCUGCCUCGUUUGUGGGUGGGUUGACGGUAGCUGGAUAAGAAGCGCCGGCUAACUACGUG